CCAUCGCCCGGUGCGGUGGUGCAGGGUCUCCAGCUAGUUAUGGCGUCCCCGUCUCGGAGACUGCAGACUAAACCAGUUAGCACUUGUUCCAAGAGCGUCCUCCUGAUUUACACUUUCAUCUUUUGGAUCACUGGUGUUGUCCUCCUUGCCGUUGGCAUUUGGGGCAAGGUGAGCCUAGAGAAUUAUUUUUCUCUUUUAAACGAGAAGGCCACCAAUGUCCCCUCACACUCAUUGGCACUGCCACUGUCAUUAUUCUUUGGGGCACCUUCGGUUGUUUUGCUACUUGCUGAGCGGCUGCCUGGAUGCUAAAACUGUAUGCAAUAUUUCGGACUCUCAUGUUUUUGGUCGAACUGGUCGCUGCCAUUGUAGGAUUUGUAUUCAGACAUGAGAUUAAGAACAGCUUUAAGAAUAAUUAUGUGCAGGCUUUCAAACAAUAGAACUCUACAAGAGAUUAUAAAAGCGAUACAGUAGACGAGAUACAGAACACGUUGCGUUGUUGUGGUGUCACUGAUUAUAGAGAUUGGACAGAUACAAAUUAUUACUCAGAAAAAGGAUUUCCCAAAAGUUGUUGUAAAUGUGAAGAUUGUUCUCCACAGAGAGACGCCGAUAAAGUGAACAAUGAGGGUCAUUUUAUAAAGGUGAUGACCAUUAUAGAGUCAGAAAUGGGAGUUGUUGCAAGAAUUUCCUUUGGAGUUGCUUGCUUUCAGCUUAUUGGAAUCUUUCUAGCCUACUGCCUCUCUCAUGCCAUAACAAAUAACCAGUAUGAGAUAGUGUAAUCAGUGUAUCUGCGAUUUACUCCUCUCCAACUUUAAGGAUACUUAAAGUAGCCCCCCGUGAAUUAUAAGAUUGCCUGGACGGAAGACUGACAACUCUACUUACCUAAGUAGACUUCAGAACUACACCAGUAGGCUUAUUCGAUCAAGAUACUUGUUCAAUAUGUCCUAAGUCCACCUUCUGUCCCGUUCAUCUUAGAUUGUCCC